rnacentral:rRNA from 1 species
UAACUCGGCAAAUUGACACCGUAACUUCGGAAGAAGGUGUGCCUUUAGUAGGUGAAGGGAUUUACUCCUGGAGCCCAAUGAGGUUGCAAAAAAUCGGUGGCUGCGACUGUUUAUUAAAAACACAGCACUCUGCAAACACGAAAGUGGACGUAUAGGGUGUGACGCCUGCCCGGUGCUGGAAGGUUAAAUGAUGGGGUGCAAGCUCUUGAUUGAAGUCCCAGUAAACGGCGGCCGUAACGAUAACGGUCCUAAGGUAGCGAAAUUCCUUGUCGGGUAAGUUCCGACCUGCACGAAUGGCGUAACGAUGGCCACACUGUCUCCUCCUGAGACUCAGCGAAGUUGAAAUGUUUGUGAUGAUGCAAUCUCCCCGCGGAAAGACGGAAAGACCCCAUGAACCUUUACUGUAGCUUUGUAUUGGACUUUGAACAGAUCUGUGUAGGAUAGGUGGGAGGCUUUGAAGCAGGGUCGCUAGAUCUUGUGGAGCCAACGUUGAAAUACCACCCUGGUGUGUUUGAGGUUCUAACCUAGGUCCAUUAUCUGGAUCGGGGACAGUGCAUGGUAGGCAGUUUGACUGGGGCGGUCUCCUCCCAAAGCGUAACGGAGGAGUUCGAAGGUACGCUAGUUACGGUCGGACAUCGUGACGAUAGUGCAAUGGCAUAAGCGUGCUUAACUGCGAGACUGACAAGUCGAGCAGAUGCGAAAGCAGGACAUAGUGAUCCGGUGGUUCUGUGUGGAAGGGCCAUCGCUCAACGGAUAAAAGGUACUCUGGGGAUAACAGGCUGAUACCGCCCAAGAGUUCAUAUCGACGGCGGUGUUUGGCACCUCGAUGUCGGCUCAUCUCAUCCUGGGGCUGUAGCCGGUCCCAAGGGUAUGGCUGUUCGCCAUUUAAAGAGGUACGUGAGCUGGGUUUAAAACGUCGUGAGACAGUUUGGUCCCUAUCUUCCGUGGGCGCUGCAGAUUUGAGGAAGCCUGCUCCUAGUACGAGAGGACCGGAGUGGACACACCUCUGGUGUAUCGGUUGUCACGCCAGUGGCAUUGCCGAGUAGCUAAGUGUGGAAGAGAUAACCGCUGAAAGCAUCUAAGCGGGAAACUCGUUUCAAGAUGAGAUCUGCCGGGGCCUUGAGCCCCCUAAAGAGUCGUUCAAGACCAGGACGUUGAUAGGCAGGGUGUGGAAGCGCAGUAAUGCGUUAAGCUAACCUGUACUAAUUGCUCGUGCGGCUUGACC